UCAAGGCAGCAGCAUAUGAGCUCAGGGGCCAAAUCUGAGCUGUGAUCAUGUGACACAGUCCUCACCUUCAGAGAUAACAUUCUCCCAGAAGUCCAGGGUGCAGAAAUGGAUAGGCUGAUGUUCACUUUUGAAGAGGACCACAGUGAAACCCUUUUAAUAUUACCUAAUGAUUCCACAGACCUCCUGGGUGUUAAAUCAGGUGAAUCUAUUUUUAAAAAUUGCUAUUUACUUUUUUAGGUGGCUGAUCAGGACAGUAUGAAAUUUCAUACAGUUUCCUAACUUGAGAAAACAUGGUGAUGCAAUUCCUCCAACCAGGAGGGAUUUAUGGACAGCGGUGGCUACGUCCUAAUCUGCCCAGAAUACAGGAUGACUAAACAAAUUGGCAAACGGACGCAGCUUUCUCUCUCUCUAAGAAAAGUCUGCUGAGAACCCUCGUUCCCACUCUGUUUCUGCCUCCAAGAAGAAAAGCCUAAAACUCACUUUCUUCCGGACUCUUUCAAGGAAGCUGAUUAAAAGAAGCUCCUAAACCAGAGGUGCAGACAAGGUGAUGAUGUGGCUCUCAGAGGAAGGUGUGCUACCUACAACCCUGCUGGCUUCAUGGAAGAAUAUGCUUCUCAAAUGCAAAUCCAAUCAAGUUAUCCCCCUGCUUAAAUCCAAACUCGCUCAUGUGGCCCACAAAGCCUACCUUGCCUGCCUCUCUCUAACCUCACCCAAAACACACUUCCAUUGCUCUCUAGGUUCCAGCACCCUGACCUUUUGGUCUGCACUGUGCCAGGCUCCCUCCAGCCCUGAAGCCUUUGCACAUGCUGUUCCUCCUGUCCGGAAAGGCUCUCCCAUCUUGUCUAUUCGUUCUCCAGGCUUUAGCUCAAGUGACUCUUCCCGAGAGCCUUCUCUGACCCCAGUCCAGGUCAAGUUCCUCUGUCACAUGCCUGACCCUGCAUCCCUCCUUGACAGCACUUAUAUCAGCUUGUAACA